rnacentral:rRNA from 1 species
UCGGGAAUUUUGGGCAAUGGGCGAAAGCCUGACCCAGCAACGCCGCGUGAAGGAUGAAGUAUUUCGGUAUGUAAACUUCGUAAGAAUAGGAAGAAUAAAUGACGGUACUAUUUGUAAGGUCCGGCUAACUACGUGCCAGCAGCCGCGGUAAUACGUAGGGACCAAGCGUUGUUCGGAUUUACUGGGCGUAAAGGGCGCGUAGGCGGCGUGGUAAGUCAUCUGUGAAAUCUCCGAGCUUAACUCGGAACGGUCAGAUGAUACUGCUGUGCUAGAGUACAGAAAGGGCAAUCGGAAUUCUUGGUGUAGCGGUGAAAUGCGUAGAUAUCAAGAGGAACACCUGAGGCGAAGGCGGGUUGCUAGGCUGAUACUGACGCUGAGGCGCGAAAGCUAGGGUAGCAAACGGGAUUAGAUACCCUCGUAGUCCCUGAGCGGGCUGGCAAGGCGCAU